CUUGCUGCCUUCCAUCAAGAGGCAGAACAGAGAGAGAGAGAGAAUUUGGCUCUGUCGUAGUAAUGCAGGGUGAGGGAUGCAGGACAGAGGAGUGUGGCAGAAGCACUAGGAUGAUAAUUUUUGCACAGCUAGAAAUGCAGUGAGUAACCUAGUCUGUAAUUUAUACAAUUUGUGUCUUCUCCUUCUGUCAUUGGUUCUUUUUCUUUACAUCUCACCUUAAAGAUACUGUCUUUUGUAUGUAACCUGGGAUGCCACCAGCAUCCAGAAAAGCUGUGAUAUGGUCUGUACUUAAACAAGAAAAUGUCUUCAAAGCAGAAUGGGAAGUGAUGGACAGUUCAGAUUCUCAAAGAGACAAGACUUGCUUGGAUUUGUUCUACUUCACUUUUCUCUUCGUUGUCUGCAGAAAGAUCCUAGUGUGACUUGGAUGCUUGGAUGUAAAUGAAUAUCUUGCAGCUUAUGCCACCAAUUGGCUACAGCCACCCAAAGGGCAGAGAUUGGAGGAGGCACUGUGGUGAAUUUUUAAUUUGUUGUGGAUACAGAAGACAAGAGUUGGAACUGCUGUUCUGGAGAAGAUCUGUUAGCCAGAGCCCAACUAGGAACCAGCCAUAACAGAAGUUUGAGUGCUGCAGCUAAACUGAACAAUACACAAUCAACCUGAAUAUAUCUGUCCUAAAAAGAGAAUGGCUCGGUGAAUCUUCAGCUCUAACGGGAAAGAUAUGAAGAAGAAAAUGCCUGUUCUGGCUUCAAAAACUUUCUCUCAUCUCUGCUUGACAGAUGCAGUCAUGUCUGUGGGCUGAGCUCAACAAGAGAGCAUUUCAAUUGCAUGCAGUAAUAUUUCCCCUAACAGCUUAUUCACUUAGAGCAGCUCCCAUGAUGUGCAACUCCAUCCAUAGUAUAUUCAUUUAGUUUUCAAAUGUAACAGAACUUGCUUUACAUUUGCAUGCAUUUGAAUUUCAAUGUUGACAUGAAAAAUACUGGAACUAGUUAUAAAAGAACAGACGUAUUUGCCCACUUACCUUUUUUAUGACUAAGAAAUCCCAUUGAGAAACUGCAGUGAUUGGCAGCUUCUGAUAGUUACUUAAAAAGAGAUUAAGGUACUUCGGCUGGGGCCAACUUAUAGCCUUCUGCAGGCAAUCAAAAUUCCCAUGAAAUCAUUAAGACCAGUAAAGAGGCUUACUUCCCUCCCAUUUACCUCAAAAUCUACAGUUCCCAGCUGUAUCUUUACAACUCUCACAAACUAUUCUCAGCAAAAUGGGCACUUCCCUGUGCUCCUCAGAUGCUUUCUGACAGGUGCAUUAAAUACCGAUUCUCACUUCCGUAGACCAGGCACUAAAAAUGGAUCUCUGUCUGUAGAGGGAGAAUAUUGGUGAGAAACUGGAGAGUUGUCAAACUCAUACAGGAACAGUCAACAUGUUAUGCACCAUGCAAAGGUGUAUAUGAAAACUGUAUAUGUAAAGUUGGAACACAUUGUCCAGAGGGAUUCCAUAAUGUUCAUCUUCAGAGGUUUAUAGACUUGCUUAGAUAAAGCCUUCAGAGGUCUGACCUUGUUUUCAGCAUGUGUUGUGUUAGAGGCCUUUUGAGAUCCCUUCUGACAUAAAUGAUUGCCUAAAUGGUGCUUCAGUUGGAUAAUUUAUUACAGUGGUACGUUUUACUUUGAAAUUUCAGUGGAAAUUCUCCAUAGAUUGCCAUGUCUGCUUCUUUUUCUUUUCAAAAACUGUAGCAAUUUCUCUUACAUGAAUUACUUUUGUUUCCUUCCCCACUUGAUAUGCUUUUCAUUUAGGGUCAAAGAAACUUCUACCUUUUAUCCCAAUAUUGUGGUACCUUGUGGCAAUACAAAUUUCAGCUAGACUCUCCCAGGUACUCCUCCCUCCUCCUUCUCCUAUCACUUUAUCUCUAACAUUUUCAAAUCUUGUGACAUGAUCAAACUCAUUCAUAAAUAUACCUGGCCUCUAAAUCAGUAGAUGUCAUUGUUCACUGUAGCCUUUACACGUGAUCUGCUAGAAUCAGUGGGAGUAGCUAAAAAAAUCUUCUCUUUUUUCUUUUUUCCUCCUCAAGGUUUCUUAUAGUUAUUAAUGCUGUUGUGAAAGAGCCUGCAAGACUCGUUUCUAUCUUACGCACAUGAAUCUUUCUUAUGCUAUAUUUCUGCGUUAGUGGGGCAAAAGUCUUUUCUCUGCCAUACUAUGGAGAUUGUCAUAAAAUGAUGGUGAUUUAUUUUUCAUGCUACUGCUCAUCAAGCAAACAAUCAUUUACAUGAAAAUUUACAAAUGUCUUCCAUGAAGUCACCCCAGGGCUUCACCAAAAUCACUACCAAUCAGUGACAGUAAAAUAAUAAUGUAAAUUACAUGAGGAGACUUUUCAUAUAUGUUACAAAACUUCACACAGACAGUGAAGAUGCAUGGUCUCUAGUGCUCCUCUUUUCAUUCUUGCUCCACUAUAUUACUGCCUUAAAUAAUGGAGAACCAUCACUGUAUAAGCUCUCCAGCAGGCAGCCAACAUCUGCCCAGCUAAAUAGAGCUCAAUCCAGGGACUCCUAAUCUGUUAGCUUAGAAUACAUGCUGGACAGAUGUGAUCUAGAUAGAACUUCUACAUAGAAAAUGUAUUAUAGAUAUGAAUAGUAAAUUAUGUUGGCUUAAUAAACAAUUAUUAAAAAUAUCUUUACAGAGUCAGUGAAUGGCUUUUUGUUUGCAGUGCUCACAUGGUGAAGCAAACUGGAAAUUCUGUGACUGCUUGAACAAUCUUCCAGAAAAAUAUAAUAGAUUAUUCCUGGAAAGGAUUAUUAGAGUCCACAGGACAGCCUGUCUCAGUUAUUCAGAAUGACAUUUUAGUCUCACUGAGACCAAGAGCAGAAUUUCUUGUGACUGCAAAGUUUUUUUUUUAAAUAUUAGAUUUACACUUCUGCUUUUCAAUUUCCCAAGGAUCUACACACUGCUAUGUUGACCAUGCCAAAGAUAGGCUGGAAGGGAGAUGAGGACUGAGUGUAGUUGCCAAGUUUAGAUGGAUUUCAGCAUUAACAAUGCACAUCACCUUAUUAAGUUUGUGGCAAGGUUUUGCUAGCAGGGGACUGCAGGAGUGGCUUCUGUGAGCAGAACUCAGCGCUUCCCCAUGUCAGAGCACAGCAGCUGCUCCAGCAGGUACCUGCCACUGCUAGAGCUUUCAUGAGUGAUGCUGGGUCUACUCAGGGAGAGCAGAUUUAAGAAAGGGAAACACUGCUGCAUUACAGCAAGUGGGAGAGAGGAGUGAGAAAUGGGAGAGAAGCAGCCCUGGAGCCACCAAGGUCAAUGUAGGAGGGCAGGCUGUGCUCCAGGUGCAGAGCAGAAGCUCCCUAGACAGGCCUGUGGUAGACCAGACUGUCCCCCUGCAGCCCAUGGACACCAUAUGGAGCAAAUCUCUGCAUGCAACUAUGGAGGAGACCACGAGCAGUAGAAGAUGGGGUCUGAAUGAACCACAGCCCACAGGUACCCCUCUAGGAGAAGCUCCAGAAUGGAGCAGCAGCCUGUGGGGAGCAGCCCAUAGUGGGACAGUGCAGUUCUGAAGGAUUGGCCCCACGCUAUAGAGCUGGAGCCAUGUUGGUGCUGUGCUUUAAGAGCUACAGGAAGCCCACGCAGGAUCAGUUUGGAGGGAACCCACUCUAGAAUAGAAGCAGAGAGUGACCGUGAAGGAGUGGCAGGGAUGAAGUGUUAUGGGCUGACUGCAGCCCCCACUCCCCUGCACAACUUGAGGGGAGGAGGUAGAAGAGGAUGGAUGGGGGAAGAUGUUUUUAAUGUGUUUGUAGUUUCUCACUGCUCUAGUCUGUUAUCAACUGGCAAUAAUAAUUACAUUAGUCUCCCUAUGCCAAAUCUUUUUUGACUGUGAUGACAAUUGAUGAGGAAUCUACAGGUCCUUAUCUCAACCCAUGAGCUUAUUAUUAUCAUAUUACCUCCCCGUAUCAUUUUGAAGGAGAGAGAAAGCAGCAUGGUGGAGCUUACCUAUCAGUGCUAAACCACCUCUAAUUCACAUACAGAUACAUGAGAAAGGGAAGGUAAUGCCAUGCAGGACACACACAAAAAAAGCAGAUGUAACUCAGUCCUGAGCAAGAUUGCAACUUGAAUGCAUGCUCUCAUUCCAAACUUGUUUUAGACUCUAAGAAAGGUCCAUAAUAUUGAAGAGAGUUUAAAUCUUGGAUGCUGAUUUCCUGGUUCCCAGGGCUUUCUUUUUGGUGAACUACAUAGCCUCUUAUCCCAAAACUCUACAGCAGGGGGGUGGAAAUAAACCAAGCUAGAAUAUGAAAAUAAUACUUUUUGCUAUAUAAAAAGACAAACAAAUUCAUAAAGGGAUAAAGUUCUUUAUCUUAGAAUUCAGAUUUGAAGCAAUCUAUCUCACGCACGGCUGGAAAGGGUACUUGGCAACUCAGCAUUAUAUAGGAGAAUACAAACUGAUAUGGAUGUAAUGCUAUAACUUGAAGGACAGUACAACAAUAAUUACAGCUGAACAAUCCUAGGCUACAGCAAAUGAGAACAAGCCCAAAUACAUCAGCCAUAGACACACAAAUAGAUGAAGAAAACCACUUACCUUUAGAAGACCUCCAGUAGACAAGGAUCCCCAGUAAAAUGUACUUAUCUCCACUGCCAACACUUAAAUGAGGUCUGGAAAGGGGAGGAUCCUGGCUCCACCCCUUCCCUUCACUCAGAUUCAUUGCACGCACCUGCCUUCUUACCAGGUGCUCAAUCACUGGCUCAGGGUUAGCAUUUCUGCUACGUAUGAUCAAAAAAUGUAUGGAUAAUUGUUAAUAUAAACAUAGUCUGCAUACCAAGAUAAAUCGUUUUUUACCCUACCUACUCUUCUCCAUAGGAGUCCUGGGCUGCAUCUGCUUAUUCAGCUUUCUUUGGGCUUGAGGCUACUUGUUCUGCUGCAAAUUAUACCACCUUAUUUUUCAGCUCUACUUGUAUGAUCGAGAAAGGUUAAUGAUCUGACUAAAUUUGGGCAUAUUAAAAAAUGUCUUAAAGUGUGCUUCUUGCUAUCAUUUUCAUGUCUCUGCUCUAAAACACAGAUAGUUAUAAAGAAUAGUUGUCACAUUUCGUAAUUUACUUUUGAAAGAAACUAAUUUCAAUUCUCUUUCCAUUUAGAAAAAGAGAACAUCUUCAGGUGAAAAUUUUGAGACAAAAAGUUCACACUCAGGACAAACCCUGCUUAGUUCAUAGUGGGACAAAAUAAUUAGGAAGCAUAGAUCAUGGUAACCUAGGGGAAUCUCAGUGGCGUACCAUAUAUUUUCAUGAUUUGGAGCAUUUGACACCUUAAUUUCAUUUGAAGUAACUCCAUAACCAUGUUAACUCAGGACUGUAGAAUCAGAAAUGUUGCCAUCUGGCAAGCUUCCUGCUCAUAGUAAAACUACUGCCAACAGAGGAGCAAGUUUGCCAGGGCUUUGAGUCUUGAAGACCUCCAAGGAUAGAGACACAUGACCUGUCUGAAGUACCUGUUCAAAUCGUGAACUAUUCCAUUAGGAAAAGAAAGAUUUUCCUUAGGUCCUUAGCUAUUAGUUUGCAGUAAAUGUGGUGAGGAUAUAGUGCCCAUGCAGGGAGUCUCUGCACCCUUGGUUGUAGAACUUCACAUUCUGUGUUCAGUAUCAGAAAAUUUCUGUUGUUUCAGUCUUUAGACUUAUCAAGGUCCACCUGGACUGAAACUCUGCUGUUUAUUGUGUCUCCUCUAAUUUGUUAUCCACACAUUUGCUGAACAUGUAUUUCAUGUCACUUAUGUUACUUAUAAUGAACAUAAAUGCUUUGCUGGUAUUAACGCUUGCUUUAUUGGUGUAAUGGAAAGUACAUUUCAAUCUGUAAGUUUUGUAACAAAUUCAUAUUUUGAAUUCUGGAAGGUGAAUCUGUAACAUGCUAUGCAGCUUUUGCAAGCAAGGCAAAUAAAGAAACAAAAC
ensembl:lncRNA